GAUGGAGAUGUUGUACAAUACCAUUGCAGUUUCCUUUGCAGUCGUCAUAGUUUCAACAUUGGUAUGCAAAAUCCUGAAUUGGGUGUGGUUUAGACCAAAGAGGGUAGAAAAGGUGCUUAGACAGCAAGGCUUUUCUGGCAACUCUUACAAGCUUUUGAUCGGAGACUUGAUACAAGUAGUGGCUCACUCCUUCAUGGAAGCAAACCGCAGUGAACCUUUGGACAAUCUCUCCAAUCACAUCUCCCCUCGCAUCCUCCCCUUCUUGUAUAAAACCAUCACCGCCCAUGGCAAGAAGUCGUUUCUGUGGCUUGGACCAAAACCAGCCGUGUUAAUCUUGGAGCCUGAAAUGAUAAAGGAGAUACUCGCAAAUUAUCAGGAUUUUGAAAGGCCAAAAAACCCGGCAAUGAUGGAGAUGGUACGAGGAUUAGUUGUCUGUGAAGCAAGCAGAUGGUCAAUGUAUAGAAGGAUCAUCAAUCCAGCUUUUCACGUGGAGAAGUUGAAGGCUAUGGUGCCUGCAUUCUAUGCAACUAGUCGUGAGAUGAUAGAAAAACUGGACAACAUCGUAAAGGCAGAGGGGUCGGAGGUGGACUUAUGGCCGUACGUUGACAUCUUAACCAGCGAUGCAAUUGCAAGAGUUGCUUUUGGGAGCAACUUUGAAGAAGGAAGAAACAUAUUUGACAAACUUUCUAAGCUCACCAAGCUUGUCACUGGGCUUGGACCAUUUCUAUUCGUCCCACAAUAUUGGAGUUUGCCAACUAAAAUGAAGUGGAAGAUACAAGAGACAUCGAGGGAAGUGAGAGCAUUGGUACGAGGAGUUGUGGAGAAGAGGAUGAAGGAGAUGAUGAUGAGAGGAGAGGAAGCUGUUGCUGCUGGCACAUGUACAACAUCAUCCUCAGAUCUAUUAGGCAUUUUGUUAGAAUCAAACCUUAAUGAAAUCGAAAGUGGAAACACGAACAAGGGAUUGAGUGACGAUGAUGUGAUAGAAGAGUGCAAGCUGUUCUAUCUUGCAGGCCAAGAAUCAUCCACAAACUUGAUUGCAUGAACCUUAAUAUUAUUGGGUAAACACUUGGAGUGGCAACAACGAGUUAGGGAUGAAGUAAUCCAAGUCUAUGGAUCCGCCACCAUCCAACCUUACAACUUCCACAAGUUGAAUCAACUCAAAAUCAUGAACAUGGUAUUUCUCGAAGUUUUGAGGUUGUAUCCGCCACUUCCGGUCCUUUAUCGCGUGACGAAUGCAGAUUCAAAAUUAGGGAACAUCACGUUACCAGCAGGGGUGGAUGUGAUAGUGCCAUUGCUUUCAUUACACGUGGACAAAGAUUUGUGGGGUGAUGAUUCAUUAGAGUUUAACCCAGAAAGGUUCAAAGAUGGGAUUGUAAAGGCGUCCAAGAUUCCUGCAGGAGCUUAUUAUCCAUUUGGUGGUGGGCCACGAGUAUGCAUGGGACAAAAUUUUGCAUUGGUUGAAGUGAAGGUCACCGUGGCGGCAAUCCUACAAAGCUUUAGCGUUGAGCUUGCUUCUUCUUAUAAGCACUCUCCUCAGUGGAAUAUACUUAUUCAUCCUCACCAUGUCAAUUUGGUAUUACACAAGUUAUAAAUUCUUAG